rnacentral:tRNA from 1 species
GGGCGGAUAGCUCAGCGGUAGAGCGGCGCCUUUACACGGCGUUGGUCGUAGGUUCAAUCCCUACUUCGCCCACCG